CCUGGCUCAGAACGAACGCUGGCGGCAGGCCUAACACAUGCAAGUCGAACGGACUCUUCGGAGUUAGUGGCGCACGGGUGCGGAACACGUGGGAACAUACCCUUUGGUAAGGAAUAAUAUCUGGAAACGGCUACUAAUACCUUAUAAUGACUUCGGUCCAAAGAUUUAUCGCCAAGGGAUUGGCCCGCGUAUGAUUAGGUAGUUGGUGAGGUAACGGCUCACCAAGCCAACGAUCAGUAGGGGGCCUGAGAGGGUUAUCCCCCACACUGGUACUGAGACACGGACCAGACUCCUACGGGAGGCAGCAGUGGGGAAUAUUGCACAAUGGACGAAAGUCUGAUGCAGCCAUGCCGCGUGAGUGAAGAAGGCCUUAGGGUUGUAAAGCUCUUUCAGAUGUGAAGAUGAUGACGGUAACAUCAGAAGAAGCUCCGGCUAAAUUCGUGCCAGCAGCCGCGGUAAUACGAAUGGGGCAAGCGUUGUUCGGAAUCACUGGGCUUAAAGCGUGCGCAGGCGGAUAUGAAAGUCAGAAGUGAAAUCCCAGGGCUCAACCCUGGAACUGCUUUUGAAACUCCAUAUCUAGAAUCCGGUAGAGGUCAAGAGAAUUCCUAGUGUAGAGGUGAAAUUCGCAGAUAUUAGGAGGAAUACCAGUGGCGUAGGCGCUUGACUGGACCGGUAUUGACGCUCAUGUACGAAAGCGUGGGGAGCAAACAGGAUUAGAUACCCUGGUAGUCCACGCCGUAAACGAUGUAUGCUAGUUGUUGGAGUCUUAAGGCUUCAGUGACGCAGAGAAAUCAUUAAGCAUACCGCCUGGGGAGUACGGUCGCAAGAUUAAAACUCAAAGGAAUUGACGGGGACCCGCACAAGCGGUGGAGCAUGUUGUUUAAUUCGAAGCAACGCGAAGAACCUUACCCACACUUAACUAUCCUCUUGGGGCUUUCAGAGAUGAUCGCUUUCGGUUCGGCCGGGGAGUGAAUAGGUGCUGCAUGGCUGUCGUCAGCUCGUGUCGUGAGAUGUUAGGUUAAGUCCUGCAACGAGCGCAACCCUUAUCGUAUGUUGCCAUCAUUAAGUUGGGAACUCAUGCGAGACUGCCGGUGUUAAGCCGGAGGAAGGCGGGGACGACGUCAAGUCAUCAUGGCCCUUACGUGUGGGGCUACAAACGUGCUACAAUGGUAACGACAAUGGGCAGCCACUCCGCAAGGAGGCGCUAAUCUCCAAACGUUAUCUCAGUUCGGAUUGUUCUCUGCAACUCGAGAGCAUGAAGUUGGAAUCGCUAGUAAUCGUGCAUCAGCAUGUCACGGUGAAUACGUUCCCGGGUCUUGUACACACCGCCCGUCACGUCAUGGGAGUUGGUUCUACCCGAAGACUGUGUGC
rnacentral:rRNA from 1 species